rnacentral:rRNA from 1 species
GGACGAACGCUGGCGGCGUUGCCUAAUACAUGCAAGUCGAACGCUUUCUUUUCCACCGAGUGGCUUCGCACUUCACUUGAAAAAGAGGAGUGGGCGGACGGGGUGAGUAACACGUGGGUAAACCUACCCCAUCAGAAGGGGGAUUAACACUUCGGAAAACAGGUGCUAAUACCGCAUAAUAGUUUGAACAUCGCAUGGGUGUUUGAUUUUGAAAGACGCUUUUCGGGUGUCACUGAUGGAUGGACCCCGCGGUGCAUUAGCUAGUUUGGUGAGGUAACGGCUCACCAAGGCCAUGAUGCAUAGCCGAACCUGAGAGGGUGAUCGGCCACACUGGGACUGAGACACGGCCCAGACUCCUACGGGAGGCAGCAGUAGGGAAUCUUCGGCAAUGGACGAAAGUCUGACCGAGCAACGCCGCGUGAGUGAAGAAGGUUUUCGGAUCGUAAAACUCUGUUGUUAGAGAAGAACAAGUAGGAGAGUAACUGCUCUUACCUUGACGGUAUCUAACCAGAAAGCCACGGCUAACUACGUGCCAGCAGCCGCGGUAAUACGUAGGUGGGCAAGCGUUGUCCGGAUUUAUUGGGCGUAAAGCGAGCGCAGCGGUUUCUUAAGUCUGAUGUGAAAGCCCUGGCUCACCGGGGAGGGUCAUUGGAAACUGGGAGACUUGAGUGCAGAGAAGAGAGUGGAUUUCUGUGU